rnacentral:rRNA from 1 species
GACCCCGCACAAGCAGCGGAGCGUGUGGUUUAAUUCGAUGAUACACGAAGAACCUUACCUGGGUUUGACAUGCAAGUGGUAGGAAACUGAAAGGGGACCGACCCUUCGGGGAGCUUGCACAGGUGCUGCAUGGCUGUCGUCAGCUCGUGUCGUGAGAUGUUCGGUUAAGUCCGCUAACGAGCGCAACCCUCGCCGUGUGUUACAAGUGUCACACGGGACCGCCGACGUCAAGUCGGAGGAAGGUGGGGAUGAUGUCAAGUCAGCAUGGCCUUUAUAUCCAGGGCUACACACACGCUACAAUGGUCAACACAAUAGGUUGCGAAACCGCGAGGUGGAGCCAAUCCCCAAAGUUGGCCUCAGUUCAGAUUGCAGGCUGCAACUCGCCUGCAUGAAGAUGGAGUUGCUAGUAACCGCAGGUCAGCACUACUGCGGUGAAUACGUUCCCGGGGUUU